GAUGAACGCUGGCGGCGUGCUUAACACAUGCAAGUCGAACGGAAAGGCCAGUGCUUGCACUGGUACUCGAGUGGCGAACGGGUGAGUAACACGUGGGUGAUCUGCCCUGCACUUCGGGAUAAGCCUGGGAAACUGGGUCUAAUACCGGAUAGGACAAUGGUUUGGAUGCCGUUGUGGAAAGUUUUUUCGGUGUGGGAUGAGCUCGCGGCCUAUCAGCUUGUUGGUGGGGUAAUGGCCUACCAAGGCGUCGACGGGUAGCCGGCCUGAGAGGGUGUACGGCCACAUUGGGACUGAGAUACGGCCCAGACUCCUACGGGAGGCAGCAGUGGGGAAUAUUGCAUAAUGGGCGCAAGCCUGAUGCAGCGACGCCGCGUGGGGGAUGGCGGCCUUCGGGUUGUAAACUCCUUUCGCUAGGGACGAAGCGUAUUUGUGACGGUACCUGGAGAAGAAGCACCGGCUAACUACGUG
rnacentral:rRNA from 1 species